GUCCCCGGUCACCGUCGGCAGUGCAGGGAUGGCCACCCAGCUGCUGAGUGACGGGGCCCUGACUUUGAAACCUUUAUAACACCACCUGUUUGGGCUGCAUAAUCAGUGCAUCUCAGUGUCCAUCUCAUAUUGGUGAGUUUGACUUUUUAAAAAAUCAUUUUUCAAUGCUAUAAAUAAUCAGUUAUAAAAGUAAAAGAAAAUUCCUAGUUGGUAAGGAAAUACAUGAUCAUUAAGCUUAGAAAAUCCAGAAGAACAUAGAGAACAGGGUCAGAAUGACUCUUGAUCUCAUCCGAGAAGAUAACCACCCUCGAAUAUUGGUGUGUGUCUCUCUCUCCCUGGAUACACGUUGUUUUGCAAAAAUAAGCACCACCCUUGGAAUUCCCAUCAUGGCUCAGCAGAAAUGAAUCUGACUAGUAUCCAUGAGGACGCAGGUUCGAUCCCUGGCCUCGCUCAGCGGGUUAAGGAUCCAGCAUUGCCUCGGCUGUGGCGUAGGCUGGGGUCUAAUCAGAGCUAGAGCUGCCGGCCUACACCACAGCCAUAGCAACACCAGAUCUGAGCUGAGUCUGUGACCUAAACCACAGCUCAUGGCAAUGCCGGAUACUUAGCCCACUGAGCGAGGCCAGGGAUUGAACCCGAAACCUCAUGGUUCCUAGUCGGAUUCGUUUCUGCUGCACCAUGAUGGGAACUCCAUAUUGUUUAAGUUCAAAAGCAUAUCAUAUUUUUAAAGUCAAGUCUGUCUCUUCUCCUCCAUCCACAGGCCACACAUCACGUAUAUUUUCUUCCUUUAUUUCCAUUGCUCAUUUGGAUGUUAACAAUGAACUUUUUUCUUUUUUAUUUUUAAGGGCCACAGGUGCAGCAUAUGGAAAUUCCCAGGCUAGGGGUCAAAUCAGAGCUGUAGCUGCCUGACUACACCACAGCCACAGCCAUAUCAUAUCCAAGCCGCGUCUGCGACCUACACCACAGCUCACAGCAACGCCAGAUCCUUAACCCACUGACUGAGGCCAGGGAUCAAACCUGCGUCCUCAUAGGUGCUAGUGGAGUUUGUUACCAUGGAGCCACAACAGGAAAUCCUUGGGGAGGUUUUCUUUGUGGUGAAUUGGUUUGCGCCAUUGGACAUGAAACCGAAACAGAUGAAAGACUGAAAUAAGUGGCCUCAGACAUGCACAUGCAAAGAACUCAGGUUCAGUGCAAUUGGGGCUAAAUCUGACUUCUGACUUCUGCAUCUCCCCAACCUUGAAGAAGCGGGCGGGCCCUGCUGCUUGCCCUCCUUCAUCCUUUGCUGUAAGGGGUCAGUUCUGAGGCACUCAGGAUUGUCCAUAUUGUUUUCAGUGCAGCUUGCAGCCAGCAGCUGCAGUUCCAAUUCCGCCUCUAGCCUGGGAACUUCAUAUACCACAGGUGUGGCCCUAAAGAGAAAAACAAAACAAAGACCUGUUCAUUGAGUGCCUUCUGUAUGCCAGGCAAUAUACUAAACACGGAAAUAGUAGUGAGCAGGACAGGUGUACUGGUUUGCUAGGGCUGCCAUCACAAAGUACCAUAGACAGGGAGGCUAAAACAACAGAAAUAUAUUUUCUCACAGUUCUGGAGUCUGGAAGUCAAAAAUCAAGGUGUUGGUGGGGCCAUGCUCCUUGUGAAGUCUCUGUGGAAGGGUCAAUUUCAGGCCUUUCUCCCAGCUUCCAGUGGUUCUUGGCUCUGGCAGCACAAUUCCAGUUUUUGCCUUGUGUUCUCCUUGUUUGCGUUUCUCUGUGUCCACAUUUCCCCUUCUUAUAAGGACAUCAGUCGUAUUGGGUUAGGGCCCACCUACUCCAGUAUGACCUCAGCUCAUCCAGUGGCCCUGUUCUCAAAUAAGGUCCCAUUCUGAGGUACUGGGGGCAGGACUACAGCGUAUGAAUUUGAAGAGGAGGGAGCAUAAUUCAGCCUAUAACCAACACUUGCAGUAGUACACCUGGCACAUAGCAGCUGCCCAUAAAGUGAUAGGUAUUAGGAUCUACAAUUGCAAACAUCAUCAUCACCACUAUUGCCAUCAGUAUCAUCACCAUCAUCACCGCCAUCAUCACCGCCAUCACCGUCACUACUAUCAAUUACAUCAGUGUCGUCACCACCAUCAUCCCCACCAUCACCACAGUUACCACCAAUAUCAUCCCCACCAUCACCACAGUUACCACCAACAUCCUCGUCAUCCCCUCCAUCACCACUAUUACCACCAGUACCAUCCCCACCAUCACCACAGUUACCACCAAUAUCAUCCCCACCAUCACAAUUACCACCAACAUCCUUGUCAUUCCCACCAUCACCACUAUUACCACCAGUACCAUCCCCACCAUCACAAUUACCAUCAAUAUCAUCACCAUCAUCGCCGCCAUCACCGUCACUAUUACAUUGGUGUCGUCACCACCAAUAUCAUCCCCACCAUCCCCACCAUCACCACGACUGCCAUCAGUAUCAUCCCCACCAUCACCACCACCACCACCAUCCUAACUAUUACCAUCGGUACCAUUGCCACCUUCCCCAUAACCGUCAACAUCCUCCUCCUCCUCCUCUCGCUAAACCACAUUCAUUUCAUCCCAGGACUUAGAGCAUCAGCCAGAAAGGCUUUUGUGCUUCCACCUCAUGAACUUCUCCUCAUUCCUCAGUGGUCUAAUCUGCCUGUGAAACCUCGGGUCUUGACCCAAGCGCUUCCUCCCUCCAGAAUCUCCCUCCAAGGAGCUGACUGCCGACCCAACCCCCAGACUACACUCAGUGUCACCUUUCCAAAGUCUCCCCAGACACCCCCUAAAGCUGCUGUUGCUCAGAGAAUUUCCUUCAUGCCUUCAUGACAGUGUUGGCCAGAUUAUGGGUCAGUUAUAGGUGUUUCCAUCUGCCCCUCCUGUGAGGAACUAGUUCUUAAACCUUCCGUGUCUGUAUCCCAGCGCCUCCCUUUCGGCUCUGAAGAGCCUCGUGUUUGUUUUAUUUCUCUGUCAGAGGACAACCCCAGUAUAAUUAGGCACCAAGAAAACUGGCUGGUCCUUGUCGGAGUCACUUCCGAUACGUCCUGUGUGCCCUCCCUAAGUCGUCUUGGCUUUUCUGGCCAUCCCGCCAGGUCUCAGUCAGGAGGGCCCUGCGGUGAGGGGUUGUGGGUUUCCUCUUCCAGGAGUCAGUGACGUUCCGGGAUGUGACAGUGGACUUCACGCGGGAGGAGUGGCGGCAGCUGAAGCCUGCCCAGAAGGACCUGUACAGAGACGUGAUGCUGGAGAACCUGCGGAACCUGGUCUCGCUGGGUAAGGCGCAGCUUCACGCACUGAUUUCCCACAGGCCUGUCCUGUGAGGGCCACACGGAGAUAAGAAAAAGGACUGACAGAUCUGACCACACAGAACGUUGAAAGCACGCUACUCGAAGCUAAAAAUCAAGUUGAGGAGUUCCUGUCAUGGCGCAGUGGUAACGAACCCAACUAGAAUCCAUGAGAACACGGGUUUGAUCCUUGGUUUCACUCAAUGGGUUAAGGAUCUGAUGUUGCUGUGAGCUGUGGUGUAGGUCACAGACGCUGCUCUGACCCCACGUUGCUGUGGCUCUGGUGGGGGCCAGCAGCUGUAGCUUUUAUUCGACCCCUAGCCUGGGAACUUCCAUGCACCUGGGGUGUGGCCCUAAAAAGCAAAAAAAAAAAAAAAA
rnacentral:lncRNA from 1 species